AGAGUUUGAUCCUGGCUCAGGAUGAACGCUGGCGGCGUGCCUAACACAUGCAAGUCGAACGGAACUAUUUUGGAAACUCCUUCGGGAGCGGAAUCUUUAGUUUAGUGGCGGACGGGUGAGUAACGCGUGAGCAAUCUGCCUUUAAGAGGGGGAUAACAGUCGGAAACGGCUGCUAAUACCGCAUAAAGCAUCAAAUUCGCAUGUUUUUGAUGCCAAAGGAGCAAUCCGCUUUUAGAUGAGCUCGCGUCUGAUUAGCUAGUUGGCGGGGUAACGGCCCACCAAGGCGACGAUCAGUAGCCGGACUGAGAGGUUGAACGGCCACAUUGGGACUGAGAUACGGCCCAGACUCCUACGGGAGGCAGCAGUGGGGAAUAUUGGGCAAUGGGCGCAAGCCUGACCCAGCAACGCCGCGUGAAGGAAGAAGGCUUUCGGGUUGUAAACUUCUUUUAAGAGGGAAGAGCAGAAGACGGUACCUCUAGAAUAAGCCACGGCUAACUACGUGCCAGCAGCCGCGGUAAUACGUAGGUGGCAAGCGUUGUCCGGAUUUACUGGGUGUAAAGGGCGUGCAGCCGGGCAUGCAAGUCAGAUGUGAAAUCUCAGGGCUUAACCCUGAAACUGCAUUUGAAACUGUAUGUCUUGAGUGCCGGAGAGGUAAUCGGAAUUCCUUGUGUAGCGGUGAAAUGCGUAGAUAUAAGGAAGAACACCAGUGGCGAAGGCGGAUUACUGGACGGUAACUGACGGUGAGGCGCGAAAGCGUGGGGAGCGAACAGGAUUAGAUACCCUGGUAGUCCACGCUGUAAACGAUGGAUACUAGGUGUGCGGGGACUGACCCCCUGCGUGCCGCAGUUAACACAAUAAGUAUCCCACCUGGGGAGUACGAUCGCAAGGUUGAAACUCAAAGGAAUUGACGGGGGCCCGCACAAGCGGUGGAUUAUGUGGUUUAAUUCGAAGCAACGCGAAGAACCUUACCAGGGUUUGACAUCCUGCUAACGAAGUAGAGAUACAUUAGGUGCCCUUCGGGGAAAGCAGAGACAGGUGGUGCAUGGUUGUCGUCAGCUCGUGUCGUGAGAUGUUGGGUUAAGU
rnacentral:rRNA from 1 species